AACUUCCCUUCGGGGAAGAAUAAAGUGGCGCACGGGUGAGUAACACGUAGGUAAUCUACCCUUGAGUGGGGAAUAACGUCCGGAAACGGACGCUAAUACCGCAUAAUGCAGCGGCACCUUAUGGUGACAGUUGUUAAAGGAGCAAUCCGCUUAAAGAGGAGCCUGCGGCAGAUUAGCUUGUUGGUAAGGUAACGGCUUACCAAGGCUACGAUCUGUAUCCGACCUGAGAGGGUGGUCGGACACACUGACACUGAAUAACGGGUCAGACUCCUACGGGAGGCAGCAGUCGGGAAUUUUGGGCAAUGGGCGAAAGCCUGACCCAGCAACGCCGCGUGAAGGAUGAAGUCUUUCGGGAUGUAAACUUCGUAAGAAUGGGAAGAAUAAAUGACGGUACCAUUUGUAAGGUCCGGCUAACUACGUGCCAGCAGCCGCGGUAAUACGUAGGGACCAAGCGUUGUUCGGAUUUACUGGGCGUAAAGGGCGCGUAGGCGGCAAUUCAAGUCAGCUGUGAAAUCUCCGAGCUUAACUCGGAACGGUCAGCUGAUACUGCUUUGCUAGAGUGCAGAAGGGGCAAUCGGAAUUCUUGGUGUAGCGGUGAAAUGCGUAGAUAUCAAGAGGAACACCUGCGGCGAAGGCGGGUUGCUGGGCUGACACUGACGCUGAAGCGCGAAAGCUAGGGGAGCGAACGGGAUUAGAUACCCCGGUAGUCCUAGCCUUAAACGAUGA
rnacentral:rRNA from 1 species